rnacentral:rRNA from 1 species
UACGGAGGGUGCGAGCGUUGUCCGGAAUCACUGGGCGUAAAGGGCGCGUAGGCGGCGCGGAUAGUCGGCGGUGAAAGCCCGGAGCUCAACUCCGGAUCGGCCGUCGAUACUUCCGGGCUUGAGCACUGUAGAGGCAGAUGGAAUUCCGGGUGUAGCGGUGGAAUGCGUAGAGAUCCGGAAGAACACCGGUGGCGAAGGCGGUCUGCUGGACAGUUGCUGACGCUGAUGCGCGAGAGCGUGGGGAGCAAACAGG